GACGAACGCUGGCGGCGUGCUUAACACAUGCAAGUCGAGCGGUAAGGCCCUUUCGGGGGUACACGAGCGGCGAACGGGUGAGUAACACGUGGGUGACCUGCCCUUAGCUCUGGGAUAAGCCUGGGAAACUGGGUCUAAUACCGGAUAUGACUCCAUGACGCAUGUUGUGGGGUGGAAAGCCUUGUGCGGCUAGGGAUGGGGCCCGCGGCCUAUCAGCUUGUUGGUGGGGUGAUGGCCUACCAAGGCGACGACGGGUAGCCGGCCUGAGAGGGCGACCGGCCACACUGGGACUGAGACACGGCCCAGACUCCUACGGGAGGCAGCAGUGGGGAAUCUUGCGCAAUGGGCGAAAGCCUGACGCAGCGACGCCGCGUGAGGGAUGAC
rnacentral:rRNA from 1 species